rnacentral:rRNA from 1 species
UAAAGCAGCCUUAUCACCCUGCAACUCGCAGCUCGCAGCUGGCAGCCCACUGAAGCUCAGCAGGUGUGAGCCUGGUCUGUAUCUGGAUAGGAGACUCCUGGGAAAGCUAAGGUUGCUGCUGGAA